ACUGAUUUAAGGAAUCAAAGCAAGUUUGAAGAUGAAACAUUGACGGAGGAGAUCCUUCUCUAACGUUACCAAUCUCAAUCGUCUUCAACGUGGAGACAGUGACAUACAACAACCUAACAUUCCAGGUGUGAGAUCUUGAUGUAAAGAUGAGUAUCAGCGCUGCUGGUGUUGCUGCUCUGUGUGUCUGGAGCAUGGGCUCAGGGAGAAAGUGGAGGGGUCAAGGCUGAGCUGAAGGAGCUGAGCAACAUGGUGGUGGAACAGAAGGUGGAGCCCAGAGUCACAAAUACUGAACUGCAGCAGAGGAGCAGGAUCAAGGAACUGAAGAAAGAUAAUGCAGCCUUAAAGGCCAGACUGUGUGCCAGUGAGAGGGAGGUGGAGGACCUGAAGAGCGAGAAUGCAGCCCUGGAGGCCAGAGUAACAGCCAGUGAGAGGGAGAACACAGCCUUCGAAGCCAGACUGAGUGUCAUUGAGAGGGAGGUGGAGGAGCUGGAGACGAAGAAAGGUUAAACAGACACAAACCUCAUCAAACCAUGUUGGCCAUGAUCAUUUACCAACAUAUAGCGAGAUUUGAUCUUCUCAGUAAGAUAUGAUGCAUGCUAACAAUGUUCCUCUCUAACCACUAAAGACGCAUUAUAAUAGCCAAACACAUCUUUCGUAUCCCUAACAGUUUACCAUCAGUGAUGCAAAGCGUUAAUAAUUCUAACCGCUGCCUCCUCGUAUACUGUUGAAACCUAUCCUAUUGCUCGGUUGACUGGUUGACUGCAAGAGGUGAGGCGAGAGGUUUUAAUCCACUCAAAAUCUGUUCAUGAAAAUAAACCAACGAAGUUAGGUCAAUGAGAAAACGUGGAAUUUGGUCAACAAAAUGUUAUUGCUAAUUUGCUAUGUGAGGCUUAUUUGACGGAAUAGAGGUUUCAUAUGGUUAGCUUGUCAGGAAUCAACAAUCUACUCAACAACUUUUUAUCAGAGUUGUACCCGAACUUCAUUGAGAUAGAACUCAUCAUGGAUAUAACUCAUUUUAGAAUGGACACUGCCAUUGACGGCUUCCAGCAUUUUAAAGUAGUCAACUGGGUCGGGAUUCGUAUGAGUUGGGAGCAACCAGCCAGUGAAGCAGAAAAAAAUUGACUACUUUAAAAUGGCACAGACGCUAUAACGACAUUGAUACAAAAAUGAGUCCUCUAUAUAUGGUCUGUUCACAUGCAUAUCUGCCAUUUCAUUGGCUAGAAUGGUUCCACCUGAUCUCGCCUCCGCCUGCCUCUCAUCUUUGAAGACAUUUCUAUUGUUAGAGCAGUCACCCAAAUAUCUUUUCAACACAAUAGACCAUCUUUGCUAAAAUGCACUUCACCGUAGACUUAGACUUCUUACCCAUCUGAUGUGAAUGGAUCAAUUGUUCCUACACCUGCAUUGCUUGCUGUUUGGGGUUUUAGGCUGGGUUUCUGUACAGCACUUUGCCAUUAGCUGAUGUAAGAAGGGCUUUAUAAAUAAAUAUGAUUGAUUCAUCAAUUGACUGUAUCAACAUGGGUGUCACGUCCUAGUGGUGUGAUAGACUGUGCACAUGACAUAAUGAUGAGUAGGAGUCAAUCAUGUACAUUGAACAAAAAUAUAAAGCAAAAUGCAACAAUUUCAAAGAUUUUACUGAGCCACAGUUCACAUAAGGAAAUCAGUCCAUUGAAAUAACCUUAUUAGGCCCUAAUCUAUGGAUUUCACAUGACUGGGAACACAGAUAAGCAUCUGGUCCCAGAUACCUUAAAAAGUAGGGGAGUAGAUCAGAAAACCACUCAGUAUCUGAUGUGACCACCAUUUCACUCAUGCAGCGCAACACAUCUCCUUCUCAUAGAGUUGAUCAGGUUGUAGCGGUAUUUAUGAGAGAUAAAGAUUUUGUUUGGGUGCCAGGCAGGUAUUAACCAUGCCGAAAGGAAAAGAGUAGAAUAGAGAGAGUACCACUACCAGACCCACACACAUCAGCAGAAGAGACUGCCUAGAGUGUAGCCUGUUUACCAGAUAGCCAGUGGAGAGAAAAGAGAAUACACACCAUAUAAAACCCACAUCACAGCACAGGGGUAACCCCAACAAGAAUACCUCAUACAAUAAUACUAAUACUAAUAAUGGCAGAGCNNNNNNNNNNGGGGGGGGGGUCAGAAG
rnacentral:lncRNA from 13 species